rnacentral:rRNA from 1 species
GGUUAGUCGUCGUUGGUGACCAGCGGAGGGAUCAUUAAAGAGUUUUCUACAACUCCCAAACCCCUGUGAACGUACCUUCUGUUGCCUCGGCAGGCCUCGCCUACCCUCGUAGCCCCCCUACACCGUAGGGCCUACGCGGGGGGUGCGGGGACCCUGCCGGCGGCCCGCAAAACUCUGUUUAGCACUGAAUCUCUGAACAUGCAACUAAAUAAGUUAAAACUUUCAACAACGGAUCUCUUGGUUCUGGCAUCGAUGAAGAACGCAGCGAAAUGCGAUAAGUAAUGUGAAUUGCAGAAUUCAGUGAAUCAUCGAAUCUUUGAACGCACAUUGCGCCCAUUAGUAUUCUAGUGGGCAUGCCUGUUCGAGCGUCAUUUCAACCCUUAAGCCCCUGUUGCUUAGCGUUGGGAGCCUACGGCAGCGUAGCUCCCCAAAGUUAGUGGCGUGGUCGGUUCACACUCCAGACGUAGUAGAUUUUCGUCUCGCCUGUAGUUGGACCGGUCCCCUGCCGUAAAACACCCCAAUUCUGAAAGGUUGACCUCGGAUCAGGUAGGAAUACCCGCUGAACUUAAGCAUUUAAAAGGG